rnacentral:rRNA from 1 species
GUCUACAGCCAUACCACCCUCAACCCACCCAAUCUUAUUUGAUCUCGGAAACUAAGCAGGGUCGGGCUUGGUUAGUAUUUGGUUGGGAGAAUGGCUUCGUUGUGGAAA